CCCCAGAUACGCUGCAAAUGGAACAAUUUGGAAUGCAGCCCAAAUCCCACUGGAACGAUCGGGAUGCAGAUGGCGAGGAAAGCUGAAGAUCCUAGAGGAGCAUCAUGCCACAAGCUAUUUUGGUGUGUCCAAAAGUCAAUGCAGCCUUUCACAGUCGCAGUGAAGAGCCUGAACAUUUGACCCAGAAUGAAAGGAGACUGAAAUCACAGAAGUUGCCAUGGAGCAGUUACCCCUUCCCAUCCAGAGACCUCCAUCACUGGCAGGCGUGGUGAAAGCCGGUGGAAUGCAGCUUUACAUCAGGAGCCUCAUUAAAUUUGCAUUCCUUGGAGCCCUA